rnacentral:rRNA from 1 species
GAUGAACGCUAGCGGCAGGCUUAAUACAUGCAAGUCGAGGGGUAUCAAGGUACACGAAAGUGUAUUGUUGGCGACCGGCGGACGGGUGAGUAAUAGGUAGGUAACCUACCUCAUACUGAGGCAUAGCUGGGAGAAAUUCCAGGUAAUUCCUCAUGAGGUUAUAUGACACAUGUGAUAUAAUCAAAGGUAUCGCAAGGUACUGGUAUGAGAUGGGCUUACUGACCAUUAGCUAGUUGGUGAGAUAAGAGCUCACCAAGGCGAAGAUGGUUAGGGGUUUUGAGAGAGAUCCCCCACAUUGGAACUGAGAUACGGUCCAGACUCCUACGGGAGGCAGCAGUAGGGAAUAUUGGGCAAUGGGCGGAAGCCUGACCCAGCCAUGCCGCGUGAAGGAAGACGGCCUUAUGGGUUGUAAACUUCUUUACUAUGCGACUAACUAGAUUUACGAGAUAAUUCUAUAGAAUGUAGCAUAGCAAAAAGCACCGGCUAACUCCG